ensembl:scaRNA
UUGUCUUACUCUUUAUCUGAGCCCUUGCUAUUAUUGCAUGGUGCUGCUAGGGAAGACAAAGAGAAAUACUGUCACUUAUAGGAGAUGUGUCCCAAGAGAUUGGACAUUGUCUUAAAGGCACGACAGUACAAA